UACGGAGGGAGCUAGCGUUGUUCGGAAUUACUGGGCGUAAAGCGCACGUAGGCGGCUUUGUAAGUUAGAGGUGAAAGCCCGGGGCUCAACUCCGGAACUGCCUUUAAGACUGCAUCGCUUGAAUCCGGGAGAGGUGAGUGGAAUUCCGAGUGUAGAGGUGAAAUUCGUAGAUAUUCGGAAGAACACCAGUGGCGAAGGCGGCUCACUGGACCGGUAUUGACGCUGAGGUGCGAAAGCGUGGGUAGCAAACAGG
rnacentral:rRNA from 1 species